rnacentral:rRNA from 1 species
GAUGAACGCUGGCGGCGUGCCUAAUACAUGCAAGUCGAGCGAACAGACGAGGAGCUUGCUCCUCUGACGUUAGCGGCGGACGGGUGAGUAACACGUGGAUAACCUACCUAUAAGACUGGGAUAACUUCGGGAAACCGGAGCUAAUACCGGAUAAUAUAUUGAACCGCAUGGUUCAAUAGUGAAAGACGGUUUUGCUGUCACUUAUAGAUGGAUCCGCGCCGCAUUAGCUAGUUGGUAAGGUAACGGCUUACCAAGGCAACGAUGCGUAGCCGACCUGAGAGGGUGAUCGGCCACACUGGAACUGAGACACGGUCCAGACUCCUACGGGAGGCAGCAGUAGGGAAUCUUCCGCAAUGGGCGAAAGCCUGACAGAGCAACGCCGCGUGAGUGAUGAAGGUCUUCGGAUCGUAAAACUCUGUUAUUAGGGAAGAACAAAUGUGUAAGUAACUAUACACGUCUUGACGGUACCUAAUCAGAAAGCCACGGCUAACUACGU